GACGAACGCUGGCGGCGUGCUUAAUACAUGCAAGUCGAACGGAAAGGCCCUGCUUUUGUGGGGUUCUCGAGUGGCGAACGGGUGAGUAACACGUGAGUAACCUGCCCUUGACUUUGGGAUAACUUCAGGAAACUGGGGCUAAUACCGGAUAGGAUCUCCUGCACCACGGGGGGGGUUGGAAAGAUUCGGCGGUUGGGGCUGGACUCGCGGCUUAUCAGCUUGUUGGUGGGGUAGUGGCUUACCAAGGCUUUGACGGGUAGCCGGCCUGGGAGGGUGACCGGCCACCUUGGGCCUGCGAUACGGCCCAGACUCCUACGGGCGGCAGCAGUGGGAAAUAUUGCAGAAUGGGCGGACGCCUGAUGCAGCAACGCCGCGUGCGUGAUGCCGGCCUUCGGGUUGUAAACCGCUUUCGACUGUGACGAAGCGUGAGUGACGGUAAUGGGUAAAGAAGCACCGGCUAACUACGUG
rnacentral:rRNA from 1 species